AAAUAAAUAUGUGCUUAAUUAAUAAGUAAAAGAUUUUUUUAAUAUAUUAUUAUUAAUAUUAUUAGUUAAAAUAAAAGAUAUAAAGUAAAAGAAAGAAAGAAACAAAGAAGAAAAGAAACAGAAUAGCUAGAAAAGAAGCAGGGAAAGAGACGAAAACAGGGGAAGAUAAGGGGAAAGAAAAAUAAAAGGGAAAACUAAGGAUUUAAAGCUUCAAGUUAAUUGCUAACAAGGAAAACGAGGCAUCGGCAUCUAAAGGAAAAGAAAAGAUCGUUGAGGAGUAAACGCGUAUUCCGGGUUGAAAAGGGGUUAGAGUCUCGGUUCAGCAUCCAGGACAAUCCCGACUCCGACAUAAAUAUUUUGGGGGUUUAAUGUAAAAAUAAGUCGAAAUGCUGCCGAAAUUUUUAUAAAUAAAAAAUAAAAAAAAAUGAAUGAAAUCAAUUAGUACAAAUUUAUAACAAUUUAUGAAUUAUUUUAAUAUGUUGGUUAUUUAUUUCGAUUUAUUUAUAAAUUGUUUGAUAUGUCCGGUAAUGCCUCGUAACCCUGUUCCGGCGACGGUUUGGGGCUAGGGGGU